UAAACCUGCAGGCACUGUGGUCCUCCAGGACUGGAGUUAAACCUGCAGACACUGUGGUCCUCCAGGACUGGAGUUAAACCAGCAGACACAGCGCCCCCUCCAGGACUGGAGUGAAACCUGCAGGUGCGGUGGCCCUUUAGGGCCCUGUUGUAAACCAUUACGCAGGAAGACUGUGUGUACCAAAGACAUGAGAAUGACCUAAAUACAGCAGUCAAAUCCAGACUGAGCCGCGGUCCAUGAAGCCGGGACAAGAUCUGCCUUGACUAUUCUCUCCGAAUAAUGUGACAGGAGCACAUCAACACUGAUUUGAUUGACAGCACUGUGACAUAUUCUUUUGGGUCCGUGUAUUCACGGACAGGUGAUGAGUAGUUUCAGUCUUUAACCGUAGUCAUAGGUGUGUUAGCACUGGUGUGGUUACCAUUCUCAUGGUUAUAGGCCUUGUGUCUGCUGUUUAUGUUUCCCAUGUACAGUCACAACUUGACAGGGUGUUCCUUGGUUUUGCACAUAUUGUGUGAAUUUAUAACUUCUCUAUUAUUUUAAAAUGUGCUGUCGAGGUGUGAAUAUUUUGCAGGCAACUUGUUUGUGGGUACUCAAUGUUUGUUGCUAUUAAUAAAUAGGACUGAAUAUUAAUGAGCCAGUGUGAUUUCAUAAGAUAUCCUCGUGUAACGUUUUAAAUUAUUGUAGUGUCACGGAAAUACUGUUUUGUCGGCUGUAAUUACAUGAUUAAAUGCAGAAAGAUGUUUUUUUUUUUAGUGCUCAUUAGCAGAUUACUUUUUUUAAAUGCAGGAUAGAACUUUCUGCAACUCCAGAAUAUUGACAUGGAAGUUUAUUGAUUUCUAGCAAGGCACUCUAAUUUAGCAUCAAAUUGUUUGAUUUCUGUAUUAUUAUUAUCAUUAUUAUUAUUAUUUGAAGUAACAGUUAUAUGAAGACUUUAAUGGUGCACUUCAUUUGGAAGUUAAAAUGGCAUUCACUCUUGACAUGCAGGAAAAAGGCAACCUUGGUAAAUUUUUCUUAUCAUAUCCACAGUAGGCUAGCUUGGUGUUCCUUCACCGUAUUGGCUCCUGUUUGUCUCCAGUUCAACAUGUUAAAGGAGGCCUCACGCUUGUCUGUUAAUAUAAACGUUUUACAUAAAAAGUAAAAAAAUAAAUACCUGUCUUAUUUAUUGUUUCAUUGCAUUUAAUCCCCUCUCAAGAUUUCUGUGAAUUCCUCCAUUUUGUGAAUUCUGUGUGCUGUCAUCGACGACGGCAGCUUUGAUUAGCACGUUAGCGCAUGUGAAUGCUGCCGUAUGGGUACAGCUUCACGAAAAGCUUAUUUACACCAGUGAUUGCCUGUGAUGCAUGUCUUUAUGUACAAAGACUGCAGAGCCCAGGUAGACCAGAGUUAUUGCAUUUAGUUUCGGGCUUCUGCCAAGCUAACUUCAGCACAUGGUCCUUUUCGUUUUUCACCAAGCUCAAAGAAAAUUUCACUCAAUUUCACCCAGUAAAAUGAUAACCAACAAGGAAACAAUACGUUUGUAUAGAAUAAGCUUUUCACUGUAAUAAAAGUAUAAUGACAGUCAA